rnacentral:tRNA from 1 species
ACUUUUGUAGUAAAAUUUAAUACACUGAUAUUAAAAAUCAAGAAUGAGAUAAAAUCUCCUAAAGUA